AGAGUUUGAUCCUGGCUCAGGAUGAACGCUAGCGGCAGGCUUAACACAUGCAAGUCGAGGGGUAUAGAGAGCUUGCUUUCUAGAGACCGGCGCACGGGUGCGUAACGCGUAUGCAAUCUACCUUUUACAGAGGGAUAGCCCAGAGAAAUUUGGAUUAAUACCUCAUAGCAUAGCAGCUUCGCAUGAAGCCACUAUUAAAGUCACAACGGUAAAAGAUGAGCAUGCGUCCCAUUAGUUAGUUGGUAAGGUAACGGCUUACCAAGACUACGAUGGGUAGGGGUCCUGAGAGGGAGAUCCCCCACACUGGUACUGAGACACGGACCAGACUCCUACGGGAGGCAGCAGUGAGGAAUAUUGGACAAUGGGCGCAAGCCUGAUCCAGCCAUGCCGCGUGCAGGAUGACGGUCCUAUGGAUUGUAAACUGCUUUUAUACGAGAAGAAACACUCCUUCGUGAAGGAGCUUGACGGUAUCGUAAGAAUAAGGAUCGGCUAACUCCGUGCCAGCAGCCGCGGUAAUACGGAGGAUCCAAGCGUUAUCCGGAAUCAUUGGGUUUAAAGGGUCCGUAGGCGGUUUAGUAAGUCAGUGGUGAAAGCCCAUCGCUCAACGGUGGAACGGCCAUUGAUACUGCUAAACUUGAAUUAUUAGGAAGUAACUAGAAUAUGUAGUGUAGCGGUGAAAUGCUUAGAGAUUACAUGGAAUACCAAUUGCGAAGGCAGGUUACUACUAAUGGAUUGACGCUGAUGGACGAAAGCGUGGGUAGCGAACAGGAUUAGAUACCCCUGGUAGUCCACGCCGUAAACGAUGGAUACUGGCUGUUGGGAGCAAUCUCCAGUGGCUAAGCGAAAGUGAUAAGUUCCCCCCUGGGA
rnacentral:rRNA from 1 species